UACGAAGGGGGCGAGCGUUAUUCGGAAUUACUGGGCGUAAAGGGCGCGCAGGCGGCUCUGAAAGUCAGAUGUGAAAGCCCCGGGCUUAACCUGGGAAUUGCAUUUGAUACUCUGGAGCUUGAGUACGGGAGAGGAGAGUGGAAUUCCCAGUGUAGAGGUGAAAUUCGUAGAUAUUGGGAAGAACACCGGUGGCGAAGGCGGCUCUCUGGACCGUAACUGACGCUGAGGCGCGAAAGCGUGGGGAGCAAACAGG
rnacentral:rRNA from 1 species